rnacentral:tRNA from 1 species
AGGCUCGUAGCUCAGUUGGUUAGAGCACCACCUUGACAUGGUGGGGGUCGUUGGUUCGAAUCCAAUCGAGCCUGCCA